AAUCAACGCUGGCGGCGUGCCUCAGACAUGCAAGUCGAACGAUUAAAGCUCCCUUCGGGGAGUGCAUAGAGUGGCGCACGGGUGAGUAACACGUAAGUAAUCUACCUUCGAGUGGGGAAUAACGUCCGGAAACGGACGCUAAUACCGCAUAAUGCAGCGGCAUCGCAAGAUGACAGUUGUUAAAGAUUUAUCGCUUGAAGAGGAGCUUGCGGCAGAUUAGCUAGUUGGUAAGGUAAUGGCUUACCAAGGCUACGAUCUGUAACCGGUCUUAGAGGACGGUCGGUCACACUGACACUGAAUAACGGGUCAGACUCCUACGGGAGGCAGCAGUCGGGAAUUUUGGGCAAUGGGCGAAAGCCUGACCCAGCAACGCCGCGUGAAGGAUGAAGUAUUUCGGUAUGUAAACUUCGAAAGAAUGGGAAGAAUCAAUGACGGUACCAUUUAUAAGGUCCGGCUAACUACGUGCCAGCCGCCGCCGUAA
rnacentral:rRNA from 1 species